rnacentral:ncRNA from 1 species
GGAUCAGGACGACCUGACCGGCGUUUCUUCUCCAGGGACGACCCUA